CCUACGGGUGGCAGCAGUGGGGAAUAUUGGAUAAUGGGCGAAAGCCUGAUCCAGCCAUGCCGCGUGUGUGAAGAAGGCCUUCGGGUUGUAAAGCACUUUCAGUGGGGAAGAAAGCCUUGGGGCUAAUACCCUCGAGGAAGGACAUCACCCACAGAAGAAGCACCGGCUAACUCCGUGCCAGCAGCCGCGGUAAUACGGAGGGUGCGAGCGUUAAUCGGAAUUACUGGGCGUAAAGCGCGCGUAGGCGGUCUGAUAAGCCGGUUGUGAAAGCCCCGGGCUCAACCUGGGAACGGCAUCCGGAACUGUCAGGCUAGAGUGCAGGAGAGGAAGGUAGAAUUCCCGGUGUAGCGGUGAAAUGCGUAGAGAUCGGGAGGAAUACCAGUGGCGAAGGCGGCCUUCUGGACUGACACUGACGCUGAGGUGCGAAAGCGUGGGUAGCAAACAGGAUUAGAUACCCGUGUAGUC
rnacentral:rRNA from 1 species